GUGCCAGCUGCAUGACAGCAAGAGCAAUGAAGUACGCAGUUCUCAUGCUACUAUGGGCGACUCUAUCCUGGGCGUCACAGAAUCCGACUACAUGCACAAAGACCACUAUUGAUGUUGGCAAUGGCAAAUGUGAAACAAGUGCACUAUCUCAUCGACCGGGCCGUGUCACGCAGCUAAGUUGCCCCUGCGCAAAUAUGACUUGUGAUGACCAUCGGAAGCGAGUGAUAGUUACAUGGUGUUGAUUUUUCGCAAGUUGAAACGAAAGCACAAGAGGAGAAAUGGCUGAUUAUACGUGUCCUCAAUUUGUUCCUAACCCACGUGCCGUCAGACCUUUUUGGGUUCCUAUUUCUUACGAGGGGCUAUCACGAAACUGAUUCAUUGCUAAGAAUACAGCCCCUAGACAUGGUUUAGACUGAGAUAUAGAUAAAAAUAAACAAUUUGCUUUUUCGGGAAA